rnacentral:lncRNA from 1 species
CAGAAAUCCUAAAUUGCAGUGCCCUGCACCCCACUGAAACUCUUCAGUCUGCUAUUGGGAGGGACCUCAUUGCUCUUAGAUACAAGGAGUCAGAGUAAAGCCAUGGAAAUUCAGGCAUGAAUUGUGAGAGGCGUUGGACAAGUUAAGCUCACUGAAA